rnacentral:rRNA from 1 species
UACGUAGGGUGCGAGCGUUAAUCGGAAUUACUGGGCGUAAAGCGUACGCAGGCGGCAGCGCAAGACAGGUGUGAAAUCCCCGGGCUUAACCUGGGAACUGCAUUUGUGACUGCGCGGCUAGAGUCCGUAAGCGGGGGGUGGAAUUCCACGUGUAGCAGUGAAAUGCGUAGAGAUGUGGAGGAACACCGAUGGCGAAGGCAGCCCCCUGGGAUGAGACUGACGCUCAUGUACGAAAGCGUGGGGAGCAAACAGG